GGUCUGUUGGGCAGUUAGAUAAAUCUCAUCUGUUUAGGGAAAUGAAAUUACGUUGAUUAUAUCUGUUAUUAGUAUGUUAGAAAGUAACAGACGGGUAGGAAAUGUCCGGAGAUUAGUAAAUUUGGUAUUAAUGAGUAUUGGUAAAAUUAAAUGGUGAGAUUUAGAUAAUUGCGAUCCCAUUUUUCUCCAAAUCUGCAUAACUGAAGACUACUUGUUCAAAUCUCAGGCUGAAAAGAAUAUUUUUUUUUAAUUUGACUUUUUUUAUAUUUUUUAUUUUUUUCUUUAUGCUGUCAAUUUUUGCAAUGUUUUUUUGUUUUUCAAUUUAAGCCAAAAUUUAUGAAUAUGGUGUGAUUAUAUGGAAAAGUUUAAAAAUGUGUAUGAGAAGCAAAAAACGGUAAAUAUGAAAUUUUCGUGUUUCUGCCUGGGGUGAAGUCGUUAAAAAUUCAUUUCUUAGCCAAUUUUCAACCGAUUUUCUUGAAAAAUUUCAAGUACAUGCCUAAAAUCAAAUUGGAAAGGAUAAUAAUUGAAAAUUGACGACGCAAGAAUGAUUGCAAUGAGAGCACCGUGAAAUAUUAUCUUCCCUCAAAACGAAAAAAAAAAAACGACUCGCCAUUGAGGCUAUAGAGAGGUCCAAACGUAUUGAAAGAGGAAAGGAAAAAUUUAACUUCAUGAGUACAUUAACAAUAACCUGCAUGAAUACCAGUUCACGGCAGGUAUUUGAAAAAAUAUUUUCUGCAAGCUUCUGACGGCGAAUAGCGCUCUUAGCCAUAAAGUCCCAAAAGGUUCCAAGCUCAACAGAGGAGUUCAAAGCAACAGGCUAUGAGUUGGUAAGGAAUAUGAACCUAAUCCUCUCCAAUAUAAAGUCUGGUUUCUGUUUUAAAAAUAAAAAAAAAAUUAUUGAAUCAACAAAAAAAAUUAAAAUUUGGAACUGGAAAUGAUUCAAGGGUUGGAGUUAUUAAUCCCUUUGGCGUAGCAGGGAACUAAUUCCACUUAGAGAGUUUGAGUUAGUUCUCGCUCCGUGGGAACGAAAUAAUUUUUAGUAAACUGGAUUUAGUUCCUAUCCUAGAAGGAAUACCGGCGAUUUUAGAUUUCCAUUUUACAGAAGAGCUGCAACACAAAAUGACACUUACUAUAUAUAAACAUCCAACUUUUUAAUAGGCUUUUUUAGUAAUUCAAAAACAAAGCGAAGUUUAAAUAAAUUUAAAUUUGUAUUAAAACCUAUUAUACAAAAUAAUAUCGUAUAGUUUUUAUUGCUUAUAUUUUAUGUACAAAAUGUUAUUAAGAGUUUUUUAAACUAAGAAAUAAAAUUUAAAAAUGUCUAACAGUA